rnacentral:rRNA from 1 species
AACGAACGCUGGCGGCAUGCCUAACACAUGCAAGUCGAACGAGACCUUCGGGUCUAGUGGCGCACGGGUGCGUAACGCGUGGGAGCCUGCCCUUAGGUUCGGAAUAACUCCCCGAAAGGGGUGCUAAUACCGGAUAAUGUCUUCGGACCACAGAUUUAUCGCCUUUGGAUGGGCCCGCGUUGGAUUAGCUAGUUGGUAGGGUAAAAGCCUACCAAGGCGACGAUCCAUAGCUGGUCUGAGAGGAUGAUCAGCCACACUGGGACGGAGACACGGCCCAGACUCCUACGGGAGGCAGCAGUGGGGAAUAUUGGACAAUGGGCGAAAGCCUGAUCCAGCAAUGCCGCGUGAGUGAUGAAGGCCUUAGGGUUGUAAAGCUCUUUUACCCGGGAUGAUAAUGACAGUACCGGGAGAAUAAGCUCCGGCUAACUCCGUG